rnacentral:tRNA from 2 species
CGUGGGGUGGAGCAGCCUGGUAGCUCGUCGGGCUCAUAACCCGAAGGUCGUCGGUUCAAAUCCGGCCCCCGCAA